GAUGUUUCUGCAGAAGUUUUCCCCCUUGGUCGGUGGCGGAGCUGCUGAGCGCGAUAGUAGCAGCUCCGGCGGCAGCAACAUUGACUACGAGGAAUGGCGGCGGCUGCCGCAGGACCUGCAGCAUCCCAGAGGAAGUCGUGCAGUUUCUAGACAAGAAGCAUCCAAACCACUAUCAAGUCUACAAUCUAUGCAUCUUAUAAAAUCUGCUUUAGGAGACAGAACUGGGCUUGAAGCCUUGUCUUUCAAAGACAAAAUCCAUGCAAGACCAAGUGUUGGAGCAGGCGAUGGAUAUGAUCUAAAAGUCAAAAUAGUGAUGGAGAAAAAGGUUGUCUUUUCCUGUACUUACUUAAGAAAUUGUUAGGUAUUUCAUGACACUGAAACAGAGCAAUAAUUGAUGUAUUCAACAGUCCACCUCUGUAUGAUGAUGUGAAAGUGCAAUUUUUCUCUUUG
rnacentral:lncRNA from 1 species